GGCCUUGACAUGCAGAGAACUUUCCAGAGAGGGAUUGGUGCCUUCGGGAACUCUGACACAGGUGCUGCGUGGCUGUCGUCAGCUCGUGUCGUGAGAUGUUGGGUUAAGUCCCGUAACGAGCGCAACCCUUGUCCUUAGUUACCAGCACGUUAUGGUGGGCACUCUAAGGAGACUGCCGGUGACAAACCGGAGGAAAGGUGGGGAUGACGUCAAGUCAUCAUGGCCCUUACGGCCUGGGCUACACACGUGCUACAAUGGUCGGUACAAAGGGUUGCCAAGCCGCGAGGUGGAGCUAAUCCCAUAAAACCGAUCGUAGUCCGGAUCGCAGUCUGCAACUCGACUGCGUGAAGUCGGAAUCGCUAGUAAUCGUGAAUCAGAAUGUCACGGUGAAUACGUUCCCGGGCCUU
rnacentral:rRNA from 1 species